GCUCUAUGACACAGAGCUUUUGAGAGCAGAGUUGAGUGAAUGUUUGUUCAAAGAUCAACUAUGUUUAGAUGGGCUUUAAUUUCUCUGUGCUUCAUAGCUCAUUGUGAUGUGUCUUUGGGUCAGGACAGAGUUGAACAAUCUUCAGAAGAAAUGACUGCGAGUGAAGGAGCUCAAGUUAUUGUAUGGUGGGUGAGUUUUGGAGAUGAAAUCACACCAGACAGCACUGAGGAAUCUGCUGCAGUGGGUUCAACUGUUACUUUAUCCUGCAGUUAUUCCUCUGCACAAACACAGUCACUUCAAUGGUACCGUCAGUCUCCAGGAUUAGCUCCUCAAUUUCUUGUGCUCAUAAUGGAGAGUGUGAAAGAGACUAGGACAUCUGAUGUAGAUCCCAGGUUCUCUACUAAGCUCAGAAAAGAAAAACAAGCAACAAAAGAAAUCAAUCGUGUGGAUCUGGAGAUCUCCUCUGCUGCUGUAUCAGACUCUGCUCUGUACUACUGUGCUCUGAGGCCCACAGUGACAGGAAACACUCUGUUAGAGAGAGAAUAA